CUUUGAGAAACUGCAUGCAGGUAUGAAGAUAUUUGCUCUCUGUUUGUUUAUUUAAUAAUGAAAUACCACAUAUGUAUGCAUUUGAACUUUAGAGUGGCUUGGAUCAACUUCACAAAGAUGCGAUGGACCAUCAGGAGCUGGCAUCUGUUGUUUCGGGUUUCUGUGGAAUGAUACCUUAAAUAAAUGCAUUCAGUGCAGGGAUGGAUUCUAUGGUUUGAAUUGUUCGACCCCCUGUCCAUACCCAUCGUUUGGUCGUAAGUGUGUGGGGCGCUGCAGUUGUAGAUAUGAGAGUUGUCAUCACGUGACCGGAUGUAGGGAACACGAGCAAUUUGAAGGCAAAUGAGACUCUCAUUAGUCAUUCUUUUUCAUAUUUUGAUAUUUUAAACUAACACCGAUUUGCCACUGAAUUUUAGUUAUUAAAUGUUUGAAUUUGACAUGGAAAAAAUAAUUAUUAUUAAUUUAUCCUUCAGAAUUAACUUUGAGGUGAGACAAUUCGUGAUGUCUAUCUCAAAUGCAGGGUGACAACUGUUGCCAUCCUUCAGAUGACAAUGAAAUAGCUUUAGCGAGCAUGUUGGGUUAAAAAUGUGUUGUCACGCUGUGAAUGCAAGUGCAGUGGUUUAUGGGAAAUAACUCAUAUAAUUAUAUUAUUAUACAUGCAAAAUAAUUAAAUAUGCGGAAUCAGUAAACAAUUAAUUCUAAAGAUGACGUCAAUGUUGUAUGUUAACAUAUUUUGGAAUUAUGGAAUCAGAGCAGAGUAAGUGAAAACAAAAGGUUUGAUAACUAUUUUCUAUUCUAUUGAUGAUUUAGAUUUUACAGGAUAAUAAAACUAUUAUGGACUGUUUAGAAGGGAGACGUCACCAAUUGUCAGGUCUUAGUAAGGUUGUCAAUGUCAAACGCAAGCGCCCGAGGGUGUCAACCGUUCUCAGACCUGAUAAUUUGUGAUAUCUCCCUUCUCAAGCGUCAAUAAUUAUAUAUUAGCGAGUGGCUCCAUUCUUGAUUUUACUUAAUUUUGCAAUUGCUAAAGGAUACAGAAUAUGAC